ACGAACGCUGGCGGCGUGCUUAACACAUGCAAGUCGAGCGGUAAGGCCCUUUCGGGGGUACACGAGCGGCGAACGGGUGAGUAACACGUGGGUGACCUGCCCUCAGCUCUGGGAUAAGCCUGGGAAACCGGGUCUAAUACCGGAUAUGACUCCAUGACGCAUGUUGUGGGGUGGAAAGCCUUGUGCGGCUGAGGAUGGGCCCGCGGCCUAUCAGCUUGUUGGUGGGGUGANGGCCUGCCAAGGCGACGACGGGUAGCCGGCCUGAGAGGGCGGACGGCCACACUGGGACUGAGACACGGCCCAGACUCCUACGGGAGGCAGCAGUGGGGAAUUGUUCGCAAUGGGCGCAAAGCCUGACGACGCAACGCCGCGUGGAGGAUGAAGAUCUUCGGGUCGUAAACUCCUUUCGAUCGAGACGAACGGCCUCCGGGUUAAUACUCCGGA
rnacentral:rRNA from 1 species